UUCAUUUUUAAUUUGUACUCUAAUAUGUCUAAAAUGAAAAACUAUCUUGGUGCAGGUUAUGACAUCGCUAAAAGUCCUUAACCUCAGUCACUCCAAGCAUUUAACUACAACCCCUGACUUUACCGGAUUACCAAGUCUUGAAUACCUCAUUUUGAAAUAUUGUUCGAGAUUGAGCAAAGUACACCAAUCUAUUGGAUCACUCAACAGUCUUAUACUGCUAAAUUUGAAAGACUGUACAAGUCUAAACAAUCUUCCAACAGAGAUAUAUGAGUUGAAAUCUUUAAGAACCUUCAUUCUCUCUGGUUGUUCCAAGAUUCACAUAAUGGAUAAAGAUAUAGCAAAGUUGGGAUCCUUGAUAACUCUAAUUGCUGAAAACAAAGCUGUGAAAGAAGUGCCUUUUUCAAUUGUAAGCUCAAAAAGCAUUGGAUAUAUAUCUCUACCUGGAUUUGAGGGAUUAUCUCAUAAUCUUUUUCCUUCUAUCAUUCGGUCUUGGAUGUCCCCAAUAAUGAAUCCCUUCUCUUGUAUUCAUUCGUUUUGCAUGGAUACGAAGGAUUAUACGAUUGAUAUUGCACCGUUUCUUAGUACCCUUGCAAAUAUUCCAAAUGUUUUGGUAGCAUGUGACACCGAUUUUCAAUUAUCUAAGCAAGUGAAAAAUAUUUUGGAAGAAUACUUUCCGAGUAUUACGGAAUCAGGAAUUUCAAAGCAGCACUUUAGAUGUUCUUUGAUUGGUGUUGGAGCAUACCAUCAAUUCUUCAAUGCUGUCAGCGACAACAUAUAUCAGGUUAUAUUUCCCAUCGUCAAAGAAAUAUACUAAAGGAGACAAAAACAUGAAUGCUUUGUAAAUCACUAACGACGUAAUUACAGAACAAUACUAUUAAUCAGAUUUGUUUAGAUGAAUUAGCAUCUGGUAUGUUUUGAUUAUGCACUUGCAUUGUUGUUUGUUUGAUUAUAAAUGCCUACUUUGUAAUUAUUAAUGUUAAAAUAAUGAUUAUAGAAGACAUUUUGAAUAGAAAAAUUAUAUAAAUGACCAAACCUUUUAUCUUAUGGUGCAGGUAUUAGCAAGCAGUGAGUCUGGUGAUGUUUCUCUCCCAACUGUGAAUGAUCCUUAUUGUUUGGCCCAUAUGGGUGAUGGACACUCUGUUUCUUUCAUUGUGCCUCAAGAUCGUGACAUGAAAGGAAUGACUUUGUGUAUUGUUUAUUUAUCAAACCUUGAAAUCACGGAAAAUGAAUGUCUUAAAAGUGUCUUAAUUGUUAAUUACACAAAGUGUACAUUCCAAAUACACAACCGUGACACAGUCAUUUGCUUUAAUGAUGAUGAUUCACAUUGCAUAAUGUCAAAUUUAGAAUGUGGAGACAAUGUGGAGAUUUUUGUGAGUUUCGGUAAUGGAUUGGUAGUCAAGAACACAGCGGUGUAUUUGAUAUGUCGUGAAUCAAGGAACAUGGAAAAAGCGUCUGAGCCAAAGAAACAUUCUCUCAUUAGAUUCAUAAAGAAAGUGGUAAUGUGACUUCUGAUAAGUCAUCUAUGUUCUUUAAGAUCAGCAUGAUCAGUUUCAACUAUUUUCACACUCUUAUACAACUUCAAUUAAUUUCAAUACGAGUUCUUUCAUUAGCUUCCUUCUUUUUAUUAUUUCUCUUUACAUUUCUACAAUAUAAUUUAAUUUUCUACUUCAUUACUCUUUUAUGGAUUCCUAAAUUUUAGAGUUCAUUUUUCGAUUGUAUCUUUUACUUAUUGAUUGAGAUUUGAUUUUUCUAUGAUUCUAAACAUUCGUACUUCAAUAUUAUUUAAAUACAACUGAAUUUGUUUGGUAAAACAUUUUCAAUUACAGCCUGGAUUCAAUUUAGAUAUUUAUAGUUGUUUUCUUAUGUUUAUUUCAUGAUGCUGGUUUGAAUUGAAUUGAAUUCAGUAUAUCAAUUCUAAUUCGUUAAUUCAAAUUAAAAAUAUUUAAAAGUUCAUAUACUUCUAUUCUGUGGUUACAAAUAGACCUGAAAAUCAAUGAUUUUCAUUUGGCAACAGUUGAAGAUGAAUUUGAGAAAGUAAAUUUAAGAAAAAACAAAGGUCGAAGUGACUUAUGUCUUCAAAUAAUUAUGGUUAGAAAUGUACGAAAAUAAGAGAAAAGUUUGUAAAAGUUAAUUAUUAUUAUUAUUAUUAUUAUUAUUAUUAUUAUUAUUAUUUUUUAUUAUUAUUAUUAUUAUUUUUUUUUUUUUUGUCUCCCAUGCAAUUUAUUUCAACCUCAUCAACAAGCACUAGUUCACAAACAAAAUCACAAAUGAAAAAGUAAUAACGAACACAAAAUGCUACUAAAUCAGUUAUGGGUAGAGAAGGAUUUGUUGCAUGGAAGUAAGAACACUAAUAAGAAUUGAUUUUGAUUUUGUAAAAGAGGAUAGUCGAUUUUCUUGAAAACAUAAAGAGAGGUGAAUCUAUUCUUUUCUUUCCAAAAUCGAUUUUCUUCUGCAAAAGUUCCUUCUCUUCCAUGUUAAUGGCUUCUAUCAAAGGACAAACGUGUAACUUCAUAUGUGUGAUGUGUUUUUCAUUUCUCUUCUCAUCACGAUAGCAAAUAAGCACUCCUUCUUCAUUGCAUCUCACAAAUCCACACGCGCAAUUCCGCUCAAAUCAUCUUAAACAAAGUCGUACAUUGCUCGCUCUUUCAUCCACAUAUCCAAUAAAUCAUCAUAAACAAACAUGGAUUAAAAUUAGAUUGCAAAUCAAUGUUUCUUUUAAUAUACAACCUAGGUUAAACUCUAAGUUAUACAAACUUCUUAUCUUAUAAUUGGUUUAAAAUGUUUAGGUUAAAAGACGUUCACAAGACCUGUUAGUGAUUAUAUUCAUAACUUUAUUUAUUAUGAAACAUUUCUUGAUUAACAUACAUCCUCCAACUCUAAAGGUUAAGUUGGAAAUGCAAGUGCGAGUUCAAGUCUUAUAUUGGAUAAAAAUGAGAAAGUAGAGCAUUAUAUAAAGAUAAAAGACUCAUUAACCCAUUGUCCUAAGGUUUUAAGUAAAGAGUGGUGUCAAUCCUUUAUAUGGUUGGGCUCAUAUUUCAUUGGUGUUUGUAUCUCGCCGGUGAACCCCCUCCUUGAUAGACCCAACAGGUUACUCAUAUCAAAUUAAAUGUCAAUAAUGGUGCGAUCACACUAAGAAAGAUCUGAAAAUUAUAACUACGUUUUUGGAUAUGAGGUUAUGACAAAUGCAACAUUAACUAACUUAAUACUUACAUUAUACGUUAGUUGAUUAAUAGAUGGUUCAUAAACAAGAUAUUAUGUGAUGAGAUGUUAUGUUUGUUUGAGUUUUGAUCUAAUUCCCUCGUGUUUGUAUUUUUCCUUUUUCUUUUCUUUUAUUUUUUCUCAUUCACAUGCACCAAAUGAUACUUAGUGUAUUAUAACUUCCUUAAAUAAAUCAAUAAUUAAAUGUAAACGUGAGGUGUCACAACAAAGUAUUCUAACUUUUACUCCAUAAACAGUAUACAUCAUUUGUAGAAUAACUUCUGAGCUAACCAUGAGAUGUUAUUAUAAAUCCAACAAUGUGGCAACUGAAAGGCAGUUCAAGCUCUUACUUCAAGCUUAAGUCCCUAAUCAAAAAAACCUUAUGCAUUGUAAUAGUGGAAAACAAGUCAAAGCACAUGCGUAUCAUUUCUUUUUAAUAUAAAGAAUUAUUUUGUAUCAUAAUUAUUUAAGAGUGAGAUUUAAAGUAAAUUAUUUUUAUGAAUUUAUUAUAAGUAGUUUUUAUAUACAGAUUAACUAAUGCCGACAGAAAAUAAGACAGGAGUGUUUUGGUAAAAAAUAAUGAAAGAAAACAAAAAUCAGGAGAGAACAUGAAAUACUUAACACCCUUUUUAAAAUUCUACAUAUUUCAGGAAAUACUUAACACCCUUUUGAUGUGAUCCUGCCAUUUGAAUGACUAUCAAAGCGAGCUCUGAUACCAAUUGUUAAAAUCGACUGCAGCGGAAAUAUAUUGGGCUCAUAUGCAUACAUGUUUUUAUUAAGGGGGAAUAUUAUCUGAGGGGGAGAACACGAAACACAACUUUUUAAUUAUGAUCAAAAAGGGAGAGAAAAUGUUUAAAGCUUAUUGUUAUUCUCUAAUGCUCUUUUCCUCCAUAAGUUAUGUUCUUAUCCAGAUUAUUACUAAAAGCUUUAAUUCAAAGGAGUUUUUGAUCAUCAUCAAAAAGNNNNNNNNNNNNNNNNNNNNNNNNNNNNNNNNNNNNNNNNNNNNNNNNNNNNNNNNNNNNNNNNNNNNNNNNNNNNNNNNNNNNNNNNNNNNNNNNNNNNNNNNNNNNNNNNNNNNNNNNNNNNNNNNNNNNNNNNNNNNNNNNNNNNNNNNNNNNNNNNNNNNNNNNNNNNNNNNNNNNNNNNNNNNNNNNNNNNNNNNNNNNNNNNNNNNNNNNNNNNNNNNNNNNNNNNNNNNNNNNNNNNNNNNNNNNNNNNNNNNNNNNNNNNNNNNNNNNNNNNNNNNNNNNNNNNNNNNNNNNNNNNNNNNNNNNNNNNNNNNNNNNNNNNNNNNNNNNNNNNNNNNNNNNNNNNNNNNNNNNNNNNNNNNNNNNNNNNNNNNNNNNNNNNNNNNNNNNNNNNNNNNNNNNNNNNNNNNNNNNNNNNNNNNNNNNNNNNNNNNNNNNNNNNNNNNNNNNNNNNNNNNNNNNNNNNNNNNNNNNNNNNNNNNNNNNNNNNNNNNNNNNNNNNNNNNNNNNNNNNNNNNNNNNNNNNNNNNNNNNNNNNNNNNNNNNNNNNNNNNNNNNNNNNNNNNNNNNNNNNNNNNNNNNNNNNNNNNNNNNNNNNNNNNNNNNNNNNNNNNNNNNNNNNNNNNNNNACAAUGGAACUGAUGGGUUCUCAACUACAAACUUGAUAGGGAGUGGGAAUUUCAGUUCUGUCUACAAAGGAACUCUUGAGCUCCAAGACAGAGUUCCUUCGUGAAGUAUUCGGAGGAGGUGGUCAUCCUUUGUGAAGAUUCAAAGGAGGUGUAAGUUCAUCUCUUGUGGUUUCAAGAGAGGUGGUAUUUCUAAACUCUUACAAAUUGUUUUUCUCUGUGAUUAAUAUUUGUAAUUGUUUUGUGAUAGUGAAAAAGGUUUAUCUUGUUUGAGAUAAGCGACUGGACGUAGGAUCCGUGUGAUUUGGAUAAAAUUAUCUGUGCAAAUUUCUCUCAACCUUAUUCUCUUAUUUAUAUUUAUUAUUUGCGUAGUAAGUUAAAUUGAGUAUAAAUUAAAAGGCACGCGUUUAUUUUAAAAACCUUCUUGGUUUGUUAUCCCACGCUAAUAAUUCCGCUGCAGUCGAUUUUAGACAUUUCUCAAAUAUAAAAUUAAUUAAUUGCACAUAUAUUAUUUUCAGCAGCACACCGCGUGGUGUGGAAUUUUCUUCUUGUAGGGACACUCGUUAAGACAUUUCAGCUAAAGAGUAAUGCUUGAAAGAAUAUUUAUAUGACCAUCUGAACAUGUCUAAAAACAACAUUUUUCAGAAGUACAGUGACGAAAACAUAAGAAUAGAAGUUCAGGGAUCCAAAAUCAAUAUAACUUCUCACCUCUUUUAUGAGUUUAGACAUAAUUAAAAGACUCGUGAUCUCAGUUUCAAAGUCAAGAGUGGAAAAAUAUGAGAUUGUAUAAACCAAAAAGAAAGUAACCUCAGAGAAGAAUUCUUCACUUUUUCUUGUGUGCAAUUCAUGUAGACUCUUCAAUGGUGGUAUUUCAAUUCUUGGUCAGAUUUAUUCAAAAAAGCUAGAAAAUAAGAUGGGAAAAGAAAAUUUAAAGUCAAGAUAAUAACCAAUACUACACGUUAAAGUCAACAGAAUGACCGAUACGACACGCUAGAGAAUGACCAACACUCUUUGAAGUUAUUAAACCACAACCAUUCAGUUAUAUAUGUUGACUUAACAGUAUUACAAUAAUUAGAUAAAAAUCCAAAUGUCAUUAUAUACGACUAAGACUAAGGUAAGUUUGAUCCCCUAAAAAACUUUAAUUAAUUUAGAAAUAAUAUCAUUUUUAUAUACAUAUAAAAUUAUAUAUUUUACUAUAUAGUUUAAUAUAUUAUAAUUUUAUUAUAUUUAAAUCAAUAAUUUUUAUAUCAUUCUUAUCAUUAUGUUAUUAAAUGAAAUAUAUAUUAUUACAAUUUUAUAUUGUACUCAAUAUUUUUAUAUCAUAUUCAUAUAUAACCAACUUCAUAAAUGAAAUAACAUAAAAUAUUUUCUAAUAAAAUGUAGUCUUUGUAAAAAAAAUAAAAUGUUCAUAUUAAAUAAAUAAAAUGAUUUUUCUAUGUCUUAAUUAGAUUUUAAUUUCUUUAAAAUCAAAUAAACAUUUCAACUAAUAAUUCUUUUGAGUAGGAAAAAAUACAAACUUAUGUAACAACGAAUACCUUAAACAAAUCCGCACCACACAACGGCACCACCGGAAGACCCUCAACCGCUUAUUCUAACGCUAGGAUACACACAAUAAGCCACCUUGAAGGGAUAAAAUAAGCACAUCAUCUACAAAUGAAACUUCCCACAUUACCUUCUGCCAUCAGAAAAAAAAUAACUCCAUUUAAAAUGUUUUCCACAUAUUGGUGUGUAACAGCGGCUGCUACAAAACAAGGUGUCCACUCAUAUUUACUAUAUUGGCUAUUAGCUUGACUUGUAGAGCAAGAGCUGCUUUUCCUAUUCCACCUUAUUUACUAAUCUCUCUAUAAAUAAAUCUAUGAAAGAAUAAAGUACCAUCAUUAUAGAAUCUCCAUAAAUUGCUCACAAAAAGAUGAAGCCAUCUUCUUUUUGGUUUAUAUAUUUUCCCCUGUUUUUCCACUUUACAUGCAACUCCAAACACCAUGUUUUUGCUUUAGAAAAUGAGAUCGAUCAUAUGGCACUUAUCAAAUUCAAAGAAUCAAUAUCGAGUGACCCAAAUGGGAUCUUGCUUUCUUGGAAUACUUCUACUCACUUCUGUAAUUGGUAUGGAAUCACAUGCCAUCCCACACUUCCAAGGGUUACUGAGCUUAACUUGAAAGGGCACAAGUUGAAAGGGUACAUAUCUCCUCACAUAGGUAAUCUCUCUUACAUCAGAAAAUUUGUACUUGGAAACAACAGUUUCUAUGGCAAUAUCCCACCAGAAGUGGGAAGAUUGUCCCAACUGCAGAAUUUCAAUGUUGAAAAUAAUACAUUGGGAGGAGAAAUUCCUUUGAAUUUGACGCAUUGUACUCAACUCAAAAUUUUAUAUUUGUAUGGAAACAAUCUGAAAGGAAAAAUACCUAUUACAAUCGGAUUGCUCCGGAACAUGCAGUUUUUGAGCUUUGGUCGGAAUCAGUUAACAGGAGAAAUUCCAUCUUCCAUUGGGAAUCUUUCUUCAAUAAUUUAUCUAUUACUUGGUUGUAACAAUUUAGAGGGAGAUAUUCCACCAGAAAUAUGUCAUCUCAAAAGCUUAACUAUUGUAUCUUUAAGUUCUAACAAAAUGACUGGAUCAAUUCCUUCCUGUCUUUAUAAUAUGUCAUCUCUUAUUGGAAUCGAAGCUAUAGAAAAUCAACUUAGUGGCUGUCUUCCACCCAACAUGUUCCACACCCUCCAGAAUCUUCAGGGACUUGUACUUGGUUCCAAUCAAUUAUCAGGUCCAUUGCCACCUUCCAUUGCAAAUGCAUCCAGUCUUUCACUCCUUCAUCUCUCUACAAACCAUUUUGUGGGAAGAAUUCCAAGUCUUGGAAAACUACAUGAUCUUUAUCACCUAAACUUGGCUCAAAACAAUUUAGGUUACAAUUCAACUAAUGAUUUGGAGUUUUUAAAAUCAUUGGUAAAUUGUACUAAGUUGGAAAUGUUAGCUCUAUCUUACAAUAGUUUAGGAGGUCAUUUGCCAAAUUCUUUGGGAAAUUUGUCCACCCAACUAAGUCACCUAUAUCUCGGAUACAAUGAAAUAUAUGGAGAAAUUCCUGAGGCAAUAGGAAAUUUAGUUGGCUUAACAGUCUUAUCAAUAUACAACACCCACAUUUCUGGGAGUAUCCCGACAACUUUUGGAAAGUUUACAAAGCUUGGAGUGUUAAUCCUAGUGGAAAACAAGUUGUCUGGAAAGAUAGAACCCUCCAUUGGAAACUUAAGUCAAUUGUUUCAUUUGAACCUACGAGCAAAUCGAUUUGAAGGGAGUAUUCCUCCAAGUAUUGGAAAUUGUCAACUGCGACAAUAUUUAGAUCUUUCAGAGAACAAUCUCACAGGCACCAUACCACUAGAGCUUUUCAAUCUUACCUCUCUAUUCAUAUUGGAUUUGUCAUAUAAUUCCUUGAGUGGUAGUAUACCAGAUGCAGUGGGAAAUAUACGCAAUAUUAACUUUCUAGAUAUGUCAAACAAUCAUAUAUCUGGUCACAUUCCUCUUGGUGUUGGAAAAUGCAUAAUGUUAGAGUACCUCUGUUUGCAAGGGAAUUCUUUACAAGGAAUCAUACCAUCUUCUUUGGCAUCACUUAAAAGCAUUAUAUUUUUGGACCUGUCACAAAACCAUUUGUCUGGAUCAAUUCUAAAUUUCCUGCAAAACCUUUCUUUCUUACAAUAUUUGAAUGUAUCUUUUAAUAUGUUGGAAGGUGAGGUACCCACUGAAGGUGUCUUUCGGAAUGUAAGUGCAUUGGGGGUGGUUGGAAACAGUAAGCUUUGUGGAGGUAUUACUGAAUUGCAUCUGCCACCAUGCCCUGUUAAAAUUAAGAAACAUGCAAAACACCACAAGUUCAGAUUGAUAGUGGUGACAUUAAGUGUAGUUGUUUCUCUCAUUGUACUAUUAUCUGCCUUAACUAUCUAUUGGUCGAGGAAAAAGGGAAAGAAACCUUCCCUUAAUUCAUCAACAAUUCACCAAUUGGCUAAAGUUUCNNNNNNNNNNNNNNNNNNNNNNNNNNNNNNNNNNNNNNNNNNNNNNNNNNNNNNNNNNNNNNNNNNNNNNNNNNNNNNNNGUAAAGGUUCUAAACCUGCAAAGAAAAGGAGCUCACAAGAGCUUCGUGGCAGAAUGUAAUGCACUAAAAAAUAUUAAGCAUCGAAAUCUUGUUCAGAUUUUGACAUGUUGUUCCAGCACAGAUUAUAAAGGUCAAGAAUUCAAAGCUUUGAUCUUUGAGUACAUGAGAAAUGGAAGCCUGGAGCAAUGGUUGCAUCCUACCACAACAAGUGUUGAGCAUCCAAGAACAUUGAGCCUUAAACAAAGAUUAAGUAUAAUGAUUGACGUAGCUUCUGCAUUACAAUAUCUUCAUUAUGAAUGUGAGCAGUUGAUCAUUCAUUGUGAUUUAAAGCCAAGCAAUGUCCUUCUUGAUGAUGACAUGAUUGCUCAUGUAAGUGAUUUUGGUAUAGCAAGACUUCUCUCAACAAUCCAAGGUAUUACCUCCAAACAAUCAAGUACACUUGCAAUAAAGGGGACUGUUGGCUAUGCUCCUCCAGGUAUUUUCUUCUGUUUUUCAAUCGUUAAGUUGGUUUGAAUUCUCAGAAUUUUGUGCUAUGAAUAUGUUAUAUCUUAGUAUUGUGUAUUGAUAGUUUUGUAUAAUGAUAGAGUAUGGAGUGGGUGCUGAAGUGUCAACUUCUGGCGACAUGUACAGCUUUGGAAUUCUUUUGCUGGAAAUGCUUACUGGGAGAAGACCUACUGAUGAAAUGUUUGAAGAUGGUCAAAAUAUUUGUAACUUUGUUGCAAUUUCAUUUCCCAGUAAACUUUUUCAAAUUUUGGAUCAGCGACUUAUUCCAACUGAGGAAAAUGAUUGGAAUCUUAAUCCAAAUGUUGAAAAGUGCUUAGUUUCACUUUUUAAAAUUGGACUUGCCUGUGCUGUGGAAUCACCAAAGGAAAGAAUGGAUGUGGUUGAUGUCAGCAGGGAGCUUCAUCGAAUUCAAAAUGCCUUUUUUGGUGAGUUAUUUUCUUUUUUUUGGAAUGCUUUAAUAAUUAUUGCACAAUUACAUCAAGUUUUCCUUUUUAAAAAUCAUAAAUUAGUAAAAUUGAGGAUUUAUAUGUGUCUUAUGUGUAUUUGGAUUUUUAUUAAAAAUACAAAAUGGAUGUUUAGAUCAAUGUGUUCUAACCAAAAAUAUAACUUCUUAGGUCCAGGCUCUGUGUUGAGAAAUGAUCCUUCAAUCUUCUUAUUGAGUGAAGGUGUUGAUAAUAUUGAAGGUUGAGCACAUCAUCAAAUGAAUAUCACUUGCUAAUCAUGUUUUAAUACCGAAGUCACUUGGAAAAUGUGGGUUUAAAUCAAGUAAGUUUCCUUGUUAUCGGUAUAUACGUUUUUGUAGUCUUAAAUUUUAGUUUGUUAUAGGUUACUUUUUUAUUAUAUAAUGUAUAUCAAGUUGUUUUGUUAACUAAUUAUUGUUGUCCCUGAUUGAUAAUCCUUUUUUUCCAAAGGAUGUUGAAAAUCAUUAAAAAAACACAGGACAUUCACUACAAUAGAAGAACAAUUUUAGAAAAACUUGUAAAAGAAACAAUGAUCUUCAAAACUAAAUUUGGUUCAGAAGUUAAUUAAGAGUAGAAAAAAAUAUUAGUUAACACCUACCAUGUUUGUCACGGUUACCUUUAAUUGAAUGUUUACAGUGAAAAUGAUGGAAUUUUUUUAAUAAUUGUACUAGUUUUAAACAUGUGUUUACGAUGUUGGUUCGUGUGUUUAUUAAAAAUAAUUAGAAAUCGAGGAAAAAAAUAAUAAAUAUUUUUAAGUUUGUAAUUAAGUUUUGAAUAUGGAAUUAACCUUAAAAAUAAUUUAUAGAUUUAAAAGUCCAAUAAGCUUAGAAAAAUAUAAAUAGUAGCAUAUGCAAAGUAUAAAUGAAAUGCAUAAAUAUUUAGAGUUGACUCAUUAACAAUAUAAAUUAGUAUUUGUUAGACUUAUCUAAUUAAUGCAUUAACAAACUCGUUUAAUAUGUGUUAUUAGAUUGGUUUAAUUAGUAUAUGGAAGUUGAAAGGGCAGGUAAUAGGUUUUUGAUGAUAUUCCAAAAUUGUUUGAUUGGUUUUGAUGAUGUAUGAAGUGGAAGAAGAUAAAAAUACUUAACCUUAACUGAUUAUUGAAUUUGGUUAAAAUGCUUAUUGAAUUUGGUUAAAAUGCAUGCCAGGAGAUGUUUGUUCUCUAUUUUAAUUGAUUAUAUUAAAAUCAAAAUCGAUUAAAAAUACAAGUAUCAUAUUUUUGUAUAUAAAUGGGUGUUGUCUUUAUUCUAUAAUAUGGGGAUGCAAUUCAGAACUUUAAUUUGUGAAGUAAGAAUGACUAGAAAACAUUUUUGGAGAACAAAGGACCUUCAUAAGUGAAAAUCAAAGACAAGAAGCCUUCAAGCAUGGUUGGAUGUAGAUGAAUGGUGAAUUAGUUUGGUUUUUGGUCUGAAAUCUACACUUGAGGUGUUUUCUUUUCUUUCCGUUUGUUGUAAACUUGAUUAUUACUGUGUAUAAUUUUUGUUAAGGUAAGGGUUAAGGGUGAAUUUGUGAAGCAUCUCCUUAAAGGGUGAAUUUGUAAUUCUGUAAUUUCUAUAUCUUUAUAGUGUAUUUUCUUUCAAACUCAAGUUGUUUGGAAGAAGACUAAAUGUAACCUCAUUUAAGUCAAACUAGUAUAAAAUCUUGUGUGUAUCAUGCAUUUCUUUCUUUACAUGUUUUUACAUACUGUAUUGAUUAAGAAAGUUCACUGAAAACAAUAACAUACAUUGCAUUUUCUUUUAAGAAGGUAGGUGUAAAAUUUUAAUCCAAUUCACCCCUUUCUUGGUUGAGAUCUAUUAAUUUUAACACUUUUAACAAUUGGAAUCAGAACUGAUUAAUCGAAUAUUAAUCAAUUAAAAAAAUCAUGUUAUGACCAAUAUAUCUCAAACAUUUGCUAAAGGGGUAUCUGUAAAUAGAUCACCUUUGUUUGUUAGAAAAUUACCCAUUUUGGAAAAUUAGAAUGAAAAAUUGUCUAGAAUCAAUAGACAAAGGUGUAUGGGAUGUUGUAAUAAAUGGACCUUUUCAACUCACAAAGAUUGUAAACAGUAUGACUCUUCCCAAAAAAUGGUAUCCUUCAUUUGGGAGUUGUGGGAAUCUUCUUCCCGAGAGUUCGGCUAAGACCAGGGAGAUGGUUUUCCAUUCUCUAGGUUGGUCAACUUCUGCUGAAGUUCUUGGAGCUCAUGAAGGCCCGUUUACCAUUGGGCAUGCAAGGAUUUGGGCUCACAUCUUAAUGUUUGUGUCGUUCAUUAUUUGGUUGGAUUAGUAUCUACAUUUGGUGUUGCAUUGUCACCAUUAGGUUGAAUUCCAUCUUGUGGGAAAGUUGUGCUCGACUUUGAGUGUUGCCAUAGGAAUGUAACGCGGGGAAAAGUUUUACUGAGGCCACACGGUGGACGCCAAAUGAUCUUAUCAUGAUCUUGAGUGUGUAUCUAUGGACAUUUGGCAAGAUCCUAAUGGUGACUUGAAUUCUCUUGAUGAUUAAAAUUGAAUCCUUAUUUCUUAGAUGGGGGAGAUUCACUUGCAAAAUACUCUAUGAUACUCGAUUCAGUAAGAAUAUUUAAGGUUCGUAAAUAUGAAUAUAAGAUACGAAAACGAUACGUUGACACCGUUUUUUGACACCGUUUUUACAACGCCACAUGGCGUAUGUCGAUUGGGCGGCUAUUUAAAAAAAGAAAUCAGUUUUAUAAAUCAAGUCAGGGGCAUAUUUGGAAAGCAAAGGCCAUGAAUUUUGAUUUCGCGCCCUCUUUCAUUGUUUCAUUUUCACGGUUUCGUUGCUCUCGUUCUCUCAUCAUCACUUCUGCUGUCGCGCUUAUCCUGUCUCAUUUCUCAAGAGUUCUCGGUGUCUUGGGUGUUUUCGUUCUCUCAUCAUCAAUGUCGCUGUCUCCGUCUCUUUGUCUGAGUGCUUUGUCGUUGUCGGUGUCUUGGGCGUUGUAGGUGUGCGUUGUUGAAGCCCGCCUUGUAACAUUGGUGUUUUUGGUGUUGUUGGUGUGUUGUUAUUUUUGGGGUACGUGGAACUGCAAACUUACUCUAACCUAAUCUUCAAUAGAGAAGUUUUCUUCUUUCGCAAAACCUAAUCUACAAUGUCAUUCACUUCAUAUUGGUUGUUUCACAGGACUUGCGUACCACAUUUGGGAAUGAAAUUAGGAACAAAGGCUUCACAGAGGUUGUGCUUCUUGGUCAUAAGGAUGGCAUCAUGUUCAAGGUUUUUGUUUCACAUACUAGGAAACAAAGUUUGGAAAAGGUUGGAAAAAAUUUUGCAUCCAAUAUGGCUUAAAGGAAGGAGACGUGGUUGUCUUCGAGGUUGACAAACAUAGCAAUGAUAUUAUAGUAGAAGUUCACAUUAAUGGAUGUAGCUGUAAUAUUAACCACCCAAUAUCGCUGUGAAACAGAAUAGUGGACUGAAAUUUAUGGUUUCUUGGAAUGAAUGAAGUAUGGUGAACUAAUGAAAAUUGUUUCUUAUCUCCAUGAUGAGGUGCACAAACAUUAUUAUCCACACUAAAAUCAUACCAAAGCAACAAAAUCACGCCUAAACCAUAUGAUUUAAGACAAACAUAGAAAAAUUUAAGACCAUGGUCCGCUGUGAACAAAAAACGGGCUCCCUAUGUUGAACUUUGUGUCCAAAUCAGAAAAUCAGCUCGCGUAGUCGUUUACCAAUCUAUUGUAAACGAUUACCAGAGCUUUUUCUGCAUAAGGACCUGAUUUCAGUCUUUGCACUCCACAUCAUAGUGUCCUGGGAUACCUAAACAUGAACAACCACACUAAGAACACGUCCAAAGCACUUAAUGACAGCAAAACAAUUCCAUCUUUGCUCUGAAAUGAAGAUUUUGGACCAUGGUUCGCUGUGAACAAAAAACGGGCUCCCAAUGUUGAACUUUGUGUCCAAAUCAGAAAAUUAGCUCGCGUAAUCGUGUACUACUCUACUGUAAAGGAUUACCAGAGCUUUGUUGCUGCACUUUUUUUCAGGACCUGAACUAAGUUCUUGUACUCAAAAUACAUAAUUCUUUCCUUUGUCCAAUAAUCGUUGUUUCAUUCCUCCUUCAAAUACAGUAAUACCACAUUUAGAUGCCAACUUUAUUCAUUAACAAUUCAAACAAAACCUCAUUUUCCAAUUACAAUAACAAAUACAAUUCAGUUAAUAAGUAAUAAUAUGUUAAUGAAGGAAACUUGCAUUUUUAUAACAUUGAACAUAACACAAUUCAAAUUACAAAACAUUUGUUCAUGUAACAAUAUUUCCAUAUUACAAUGUCUUAAGAAAGCUAUACAAAUAUCACUCAUUUUUAAUUCUGAGCAAUCCAAUGUAAGGAGUCCUAAGCGCUCUACUCUUGUAACGCCUUUGUGACCCCAUCCUCACAUAUGUCUUCAUCGGUGGACAUGCCUUUUUGGGAGAUGCCUCCCGGGGAGAUGCCACCCAGGGAGAUGCCUCUCGGGGAGAUGGACAGUUCUUCACGAGGCACACUCUGUCCACCAUCCUCUAGUCUUCUUCGUCUAGCUUUCUCAAAUGUCAACUCUUCCUCCAACACAAGAACCCUCCUUUUAAGUUCUACAACUAGACUUUGUUACUGAUGUAAAGUAUGCAUAAAACUCUCUCUGCGUUUUCUCUUAAGUAGCUUCUUUGUUGAUGGNUUGUCAUCUUUCAUUUUUUGUCUUGGUUCAUCCUUAAGAUCAUUUUUAUCCUUCAUUGUACCAACAUCAACAUCAUCAUUAACCUGAAAUUCAACAAUUCAAGUCAUACUAGGAACACAUAUAUAAUAACAUAAAUCACUCUAACAAUAAACCACAUACCAGACCAGUUUCCAAAGCUCCUUUCACGAGGUUGUCUCCCAAAUUUAUAUUCAUCCAAUGCAAUAUUCUUGGAUUUUUUUCUAUUGCACCUUUGGGAGGAAUCAAAUUCUCAAAAAACCAUACCUACACAAAAUUGAUCAUGUUAACUGUUAUUUAAUAACUCAAUGCAAGCCACAAGACCAAAAUCAAUUUCAACAUUUUAAAUGAAUAAAGAUAACUUACUUGCAGCAUGUAAAUACAACCAUCGACAUAAACAUCCGUUGUGGCUUUUCCUUUCUUCAGAGCAUCUGAAGCUUUGUUCAAACCACGUACCAAAUAUCGAUACACUAAACUACCCCAACAAUAAUUACCUAAACCAUUUAAAUUAUCAACAAUUUCAAAUAAUACGGGAAACACUCUUCCAUUACAUUGUGGAAAUAAUAUCUCACAAAUCCCAAUCAAUAUGUACAAGUUACAAAAAGGAGAACAAGGAAUUUUUUUUACUUUCUUCAUCAAACAUUUGUAUACCAAAUUCAAAUCUCUUGUUUGAUUGCCAAUGUAUUUCACACAUGUACUUCUUCACAUUUCUCCCUUUAAAUUAAUAUUUUCCCCAUCUAAACUCAACCCCAAACCUAAACAAAAUUCCUUCUCAUUCAUAGGCACAAGUUUCUCUCCAAUUAAAAAACCACUACUUGAAUCCACCUAUUUAAACACUAACUCAAUCAAGAUUUUCCUACCUACUUUAACAUUAUCACUCAAAUCUAAAAAGUGCCCGCAAUCACUGACCAAUGCUCCUUUCUCAAACGUUUGUUCAAACUACAUAUGUACUUUGUUGAAACUGAGUGACGAACCGUCAACUGUAUCGAGGAAAAAAACCAAAAACCAAAACUUAAAAACCUUAAAUGAAAAACAACACAGAAAACCCAAACUCAAAAUACGAAACGCUACCAAGGAUGAACGCGCUUACCCUACUCGAAAACUCGCCAUUUCUCAAAACGAACGGAGCAAGAACCAAGAGAUGCAAUGACAGCGACAACCACACCGACAACGACAACGAAGGCGAACAGGGUAAGGAGAAGGACCAACGAGAGUUAGAUGGCGAACACAAAGGCAAGAACGAGAACGGAAGGGCGAAAACCAAGUCAAGAACGACAAUGAAAUGGAGAAAUGGGAAGAAAGAGAAUGUUAAAAUCUGAAGAAACAGGGGAAGGGCAAACUUGGAAUUGAAAAAUUCAAAUCUCUUCCUGAUUAAUGACGUCAGAUUUUUAAUUUUUUUUUUAAAAAAAUAAAACGUCCAAUCGUAUGCCGACACGUGACGUUGUUGAAGUAGUGUCAAAAAGUUAUUGUCAAAAUAUCGGAAUCCUAUAAGAUAUUGAAUCAAUAUUAAGUGAGUAUUCCUUAAAAAUAUACAUUUUCAUUAAAAAAUAAUAUAAACUCAAUAUAUUAGUACAAGAUACAUUUUCCGUAAAAAAAAUAUAUCAACACAAUUAUAAUAUACAUUUUCAAUAUAUAAAAAAAAAGAAUAUAUAUAUAUAUAUAUAUAUAUAUAUAUAUAUAUAUAUAUAUAUAAUCGUAUUGUGAAAUGUUAUUUUAACUUUUUGGAAGAAAACAAAGCACAAUAUACAUUUUUAGCAAAAACAUAUAUAAGUAUAAUUACAAUAUACAAUUACAGUAAAAAGGAUAUAAACGCAGUUACAAAAUCUUAGAGCAUUGUUAUGAUUCUAACUUUCCUGGAAGAAAUAAAAGAGAAAUUUACAUUUUCAGUAAAAAGGUGAUAUAAACACACUUUCAAUGUACAUCUUCAGUAAAAAAAAGAUAAAUGCAAUUAGAAAAUUUUGAGUAUGUGAUUCUAGCUUCCUGAAAGAAAACAAAUAACAACAAAGACAAUGAUAAACACAAUUACAAAAUCUUAAAACAUUGUAAGUGCCUGAAAUUAAGUAUCAUUGGAUCAAUUUGAAUAAGAAAAUAUAUACUUAUGCAAUGCAAAUAGAAAAUUCAUCGUUCAACCAUCUUUAAGGAGGACAUCAUUGAACACAUAAAUACUGCAAAAUGGAAUAUACUAAAGUAAAGUAAUAAGAAGAACAUAAAUCAAGUUUAAAGAGUUUUGAAACAGUAAUAUGCAAAAAUGUAAAUUCUAAGGCUAUAAAAGGUCAACAAAUUUGAAAUUUAAAAUCGGUUUUAAUCAAUGUCAAUAUAUAUCAUAUAUGUGAAAUUCUAGUUUUGAUCGGUAAACAAAUACUUGUCAUAGUCUAAUAGGUUUUCCGCUAAAAUAUUAAUUCGGAGUCUUCUACACUAUACGUCUUUUUUUUCACAAUAAAUACAUUAAAUAGGGUAGUUCAAACAAAGGAUAGAAAUAUUCUAUUUAAAAUGCUUUGUUUUCCUAAUUUUAUUUAUUUUUAGAUAUUAUUUGUAUCUUUAUUCUCACAUAAUUUCCCAAAUUCCAUAAAACAUUUUCUCUUGUCAUAUAAGACAAAAUUAGAAUCUUAAAUAUAUAAAAAAAAAGUAAAUAGGAGAAAAAAUAAGAAAUAUGUAAAACUGGGAUGAAAAAUAUUAUUUUGGGCUUAGAUGGGUUCGAAAUUAAAUAAAGAAAUAAUAAUAAAAUUAAUUGCGUUAAACAAUAUUACACUAAUAACCGCUAAAUCAAAUCUUAAUAAGCUAUUAAGACAUAUAGAUGAUAUUAACCAAACUUAGAUCAUAUAAAUUAAUUACACAUUUAUUAUUUUCACUAGCACACCGCUUGGUGUGUGGAAUUUUCUUCUUGCAGGGACACUCAUUAAGACAUUUGUACGACACUCUUCAAUGGUGGUAUGACAUACGGCAAAAGUCCAAAAUGUGACUAACACUCUUCGAAGUUAUUAAACAAAAACCAAACAGUUAUAUAUACGAUGUGCUCAUCAACUUCACCGGAGAAGACAUCCACAGAUUAUUUGUUUCUCAUCUCAAUUCUGUUCUCUCUACUGUUGGUCUCACCACUUUCCUUCAUCACCACAACGCAGUAAAGUCAACUCACAUCCAAGAACCUAUUCUCAGCCACUGUCGUGUAGCAAUUGUUGUUUUCACCCAAACCUAUUCUCAAUCUGCUUGGUGUCUUCAUCAGCUUCAACAAAUCAUCAACUGGCACGAAACUUAUUUCCAACAUGUUCUGCCAAUAUAUUAUGAAAUCCAGCCAUCUGAUGUACGUCUUCAAAAAGGUGACUUUGGAAAAGCCUUGGAGGAAACGGCACAACAAACAUUUUCAGGACAAGAACUGGAGCAUGGCAUGUCCAGGUGGAGCCAUGCACUCACCAAAGCUGCAAAUUUCUUUGGAUGGGAUGAGAGCAAUUACAGGUACAUCACUCACUCAUUCAACCAUCUUCUAAGCCUCGGAUUUCAUUUUGUUACUACAUGACUACUUCUAUUAUUGCUCUUGAACUUGAAGGAGUGAUGCUGAACUAGUGGAGAAAAUUGUUAAGAGCGUUGUUAAUUUACCAGUCUUGUCUGCUACUAAAUUUCCUGUUGGAUUACAAUCACACGUGGAAAAUCUGAUUCGAACUAUCAAAAAUAAAUCCACGGAAGUUUGUAUGAUAUGGAUACAUGGAGAUGAAGGAUCUGGUAAAACGACUCUUGCCAAAGCGAUCUACAAUCAAAUUCAUUGGACGUUCAAGGACAAAAGUUUCAUUGAAAAUAUUUCACGUGUUAGCGGAAUAAGAGGGCUUCUUCGUUUACAAGAACAACUUCUUUUAGAUGUCCUAAAACAAAAAGUGGAGAUUCCUAGCGUUGAUGUGGGAAGAACUAUGAUUCGGGAAAGACUUCUAGGAAAAAGGGUUCUCAUUGUACUUGACGAUCUUUUCUACUCUAAUUUAUUCGACCUAAGGGAUUGUACUAAAUGGUUAGUUGAAGGAACUGUUAUAAUUGUUACAUCAACAUAUGGAAUAGGGCUGAGAGAUCAAGCUAAUUCUGUCUUUCGGGUAGAGCGAAUGAACGAAGAGGAGUCCCUUGAGCUUGUUAGUUGGCAUGCAUUUAGAGAAGCAAAACCAAAAGAAGAAUACAAAGACCUUGCAAGAAAAGUAGUUAGUUAUUGUGAAGGACUACCACUAGCUCUUGAAGUCGUUGGAAGUAGUUUAUUUGAAAAGACGAAAGAAGAAUGGAACAAUGUAUUGUUUGCGAUAGAUGGCUUGCGUCCUGAUCCAGAGAUAAUAAAAGUAAGCAUCGAAGGUUCACUGAAUGAAAUGGAAAAAGAUAUAUUCCUUGAUAUAUGUUGUUUCUUUGUUGGUAAGAACAGAGCCUAUGUUAGGAAGAUCCUAAAUGGCUGUGGGGUAGACGCUGAUAUUGCAAUAAGAGUUCUCAUCCAGCAUAACCUCAUCAAAAUUAACAAGAACAACAAAUUUGGAAUGCAUCCUUUGCUACAAGAAAUCGGAUUAAGAAUUAUUCGUGAAAAUUAUGGAAAGGAUCUUGGGAACAGGCGACUGUGGUUUGAUAAGGAUACAAAAUAUGUAAGAACAUUCUUUACAUGUAUUUGAAACUUCUUUUGAAAGCGUUUUUAUUUGGAAUUUUCAUCACAGGGGACAGAAGCCCUGCAGUGGUUGCCUGUCAAUGCCUUCGUUAAUGUACAACAGACUGUAAAUUCUGAGUACCUUCUCAAGAAACUAAGAUGGAUCAGUUGGCAUGGGCUUUCUUCAGAACGUCUACCUAACAACUUUUAUGAGCAUGAUGCAAUAGCUAUUGAUUUAAAACGCAGUCUUCUUCGAUUUCUCUGGAAAACACCCCAGGUUUUAUUACCACCCACUUCUCCUUAAAAUACAACUUAAUUCAAAUAAAUUAGUAGCUUGCUAUUGCUUCAUUUUUANUUUGUACUCUAAUAUGUCUAAAAUGAAAAACUAUCUUGGUACAGGUUAUGACAUCNCUAAAAGUCCUUAACCUCAGUCACUCCAAGCAUUUAACUACAACCCCUGACUUUACCGGAUUACCAAGUCUUGAACAUCUCAUUUUGAAAUAUUGUUCGAGAUUGAGCAAAGUACACCAAUCUAUUGGAUCACUCAACAGUCUUAUACUCCUAAAUGUGAAAUACUGUACAAGUCUAUACAAUCUUCCAACAGAGAUAUAUGAGUUGAAAUCUUUAAGAACCUUCAUUCUCUCUGGUUGUUCCAAGAUUGACAUAAUGGAUAAAGAUAUAGCAAAGUUGGAAUCCUUGAUAACUCUAAUUGCUGAAAAUACAGCUGUGAAAGAAGCGCCCUUUUCAAUUGUAAGCUCAAAAAGAAUUGGAUAUAUAUCCCCUACGUGGAUUUGAGGGAUUAUCUCAUAAUCUUUUUCCUACUAUCAUUCGGUCUUGGAUGUCCCUAAUAAUGAAUCCAAUCUCUUAUAUUCAUUCGUUUUGCAUGGAUACGGAGGAUAAUACGAUUGAUAUUGCACCCUUGCUUAGCACCCUUACAAAUAUUCGAAGUGUUUUGGUAGCAUGUGACACCGAAUUUGAAUUAUCUAAGCAAGUGAAAAAUCUUUUGGUUGAAUAUUUCGCGAAUAUUACAGAAUCAGGAAUUUCAAAGCAGCACUUGAGGUGUUCUUUGAUUGGUGUUGGAGCAUACCAUCAAUUCUUCAAUGCUGUCAGCGAUAACAUAUCUGAGGUUCUUUUCUAGCUUUCUUUGUUUCUUACCGUCACUAUAUCAUUUUAGUUAUUAAUCAAGAGAACAUAAAAUAAUCCUAAUGAAAUAUAUGAGUCAAACUACAGUAAUCAAUUUUAGGACUUGUUAUGAUCUGGAUCUUGAAUUUGGACUUAGGGACAAAAAGGAAGAUCUAAAGGUAGUAUUUGUAUUGUUUCUUUUGUUUGAAAAAAGUUUUCUUGCUUUUGAGAUGCGAGAUCCAUCUCAAAAAAGUCUCUAAUGCUAAGGGUGUUAGGAUAUUUUAGAAUAAAGUAAUUAUUACUAGUUGUUUUUAUAGACUGUAAAUCUAUAUUUCUAUUAAGACAGUACUUACCUGGAAAGUAUGAUAAAUAGUAAAAUAAUAAUUAACCUAUCAAUCUAUGAAUAUUUAAUUAUAAUAUAUAAAUAUGAUCCAAAUAAAUGUAAGUUGAGUGUUCUACAAUAAAGAGAUUUAAAAGAUUUUAUUGAGGUCUUUAAUAUCACUAUUAGAGCGGGUAAGAACAAUAUGCUCAAUUCCUGUUACCAUAGAAUCUCGUCUAGAAGUUUCUGAUUUUGGUAAUCAAGUGAUUUUGCUUUUAUUUCUAUACUUUCUUACUUUAUUUUACUCGCUUCAGGAUUGUUAUAUUUCCAAUCGUGGAAGAAAUAUACUAAAAGAGACAAAAACAUAAAUGCUUUGUAAAUCACUAACGACGUAACGAUGAUACAGAACAAAAGUAUUAAUGAGAUUUGUUUAGAUUAAUUAGCAUGGGUAUGUUUUGAUUAUGUACUGCAUUGUUGUUUGUUUGAAUACAAAUGCCCACUUUGUAAUUAUUAACGUUAAAAUAAUGAUUAUAGAAGACAUUUUGAAUAGAUAAAUUAGAUAAAUGACCAAACCUUUUAUGUUAUGGUGCAGCUAUUGAGAAGUAGUGAAUCUGGUGAUGUUUGUCUCCAAGCUGUCAAUGAUCCUUAUUGUAUGGCCCAUAUGGGUGAGGGACAAUCUGUUUCUUUCACUGUGCCUGAAGAUGGUGAUCUGAAAGGAAUGAUUUUGUGUGUUGUUUAUUUAUCAACUCCUAACAUCAUUGAACCUCAAUUUACUACUGUCGUAAUCGUUAAUUACACAAAGUGUAGAUUCCAGAUACACAACCAUGGUACAGUAAUUUCCUUUAAAGAUGAAGAUUGGCAUGGCAUAAUGUCAAAUUUAGAAUGUGGAGACAAUGUGGAGAUAUUUGUGAACUUUGGUAAUGGAUUGGUGGUCAAGAACACAACGGUGUAUCUGAUAUGGGGUGAAGCAGAGAACAUGGAAAAAGUGUCUGAGCCAAAAAAACAGUCUCUCAUUAGAUUCAUAAAGAAAGUUGUAAUGUGACUUCUGAUAAGUCAUUUAUGUUUUUUUGAGAACAGCAUUAUCAUUUAGUGAUAGAAAUAAAUAAUCAUAUUGUCACAUCAAGAAUCAUCACUAAUUUCUCUUAAAAGAAAAAAAGGAUAUGCUUUAUGAAAUAAAGGCAGCUGUUGACACAUAUAUGAGACAACAUUUUGACACAUAUGUUGACACAAAAUAAUGGAAUUUUUAUUCGAAUAAGAAUAAUUUAUUCACUCUUAAAAAAAUUAAGUCAAGAAUUCGGGUAGAAUCAUACAAAUUUUCAUUGAAGUGUUUCAGAUAUGGUAAAUAACAAAAAAAAUAAAAAAUAAUGUAAUUUUCUUUAAACAAGGUAACAAUUUUCUUUAAAAAUAAGAAUAUAGAUUAAUAACAUCAAACUCUCAAAACAAUAAAAAUAAAAAAUAAAAUAAAACUAUAUAUUUCAAGUGUGAUUUUAUGAUAAAUGCAUAUGACGACGUAUUCUUUUUAGUCCAAUUAUUUUUUUAAACUUGUGGUAUUGUUUCUUUAGUGUGCUUUUAAAAUAAUUAAAUUGUAAUAUAUUAAAAAAUUACUGAUAUGUUUUAAAAUAUAAAUUAGUGCAAAAACGUUUUUUAACGUCACAUGGUAGACGUCGGUUACGGGCAUUUGCGACGCAUAUUGAUGACCGGUGGCAAUUCCGUAAAUAAGUUGGCAAUAUAGGCGUAGGUUAGGUCCAUCUUCUACGUCUAUAGAAUUUUAGAAGGCCCUUCAAACCUGACGUCUAUAUUUCUAACCGCUAGGUAAAAAGUCAUUUCCAUCAGCCUUAUAGACGUCGGUUCGUUUGGGACACCGACGUCGAAAUGGCAGAAAUUAAUGUUGCUCACCUACUUAUCAGACAUAUAGACGUCAGUCCCCUUCUAACUGACGCCUAUAAGUUUGUCAAGCAGGUGAAUAGUCACUGUUUUCAGCCUUAUAGGAGUCGAAGCCCACCACAUUGAAGGGGCCCCGACGUCUACAUGGCGAAAAUUAAUGCUCCCCACCAACCUGUCAGACAUAUAGACGUCGGUCUCGUUGUAACUGACGCCUAUAUGUCUACCGGACAGGUGAAUAGUUACUUUUUUUGAGAGCUCCUGUUGUAGCUGUCAGUGUUCACAGCUCCUGUUGUAAUAUUGAGAGAUUCCAUUUCUGGUCUCACGGCUUCGAACUCCUUUUCAUCCUCUUCCAUUUGUAACAAUAAAUACUGUCUGUUGGGACACUUAUGAUUGAAAGAAAAUUUCUCAUCACAAAAAUAACAAAGACCCUUCUCUCGUCGUAGUUGCAUUUUCGUAGGACUGAUUUUCUUCACAUUGGAAUUUCGAAAAUUAGGUCCUGAAGGGGUGGGUAAUAAUGGAGGUAGAGGCUGGGAAGUGUAAGGAGGUUUCGGAGGGGUUCUGAGAGCAUUAUUCUGAUUAGAAUUGAAGGUGAUGUUGGAAUAUCUAUGGCCCUGUGGUGGAGUUCGAGCAAUAGCAACAGGGGCAUAUUUUUCCUCAAAUAAUUUAGCCAGUGACACAGCUCUCAAUAAAUUGGUAGGACUCUGAGCUACCACAUCUCGUCUAAUAUCUUUGUUCAAUCCACUUAAAAAGCAAUUUAAAAGAACUUCAGAAGUUAACCCAUCAGAGCGAUUGGCUAAACUCAUGAAUUUCAAAUAAUAAUCAGCAACUGUACCAGUUUGUGUCAAUUUGAACAACUCAGCCAUAGGGUUAUCAAACGGGGAAGGACCAAAUUGUGAUUCCAAAGCAUAAAUUCCAAGACUGGAAGACAUUCUCCUUUUGCAACAUCUGAAACCAUGGAAUGACAUCCUUCUCAAAAUGCAUCGCAUCUAUUUCCACCCUCUCCAAAUCUGGAGUAUUGUGGUAAUUGAAGAAUUUUUCUACCUUAAAGAUCCAUUAUAACACAGGCGUUUGACCAUCGAAGUGAGGAAAACCCAGCGAUAUGUCGCAAACAGGCAUCGCUACAGGGAACACCCCUGAAUUUGCAAACUGUGAUCCAUUCUUUGAGCUCGUAUCACCAACGUGCUGAGUUUGAAUCUUGAUUAAAUGAUCAAUGGCUAUCUGGAUUUGAUUCAUGCGCUGCUCUGUUUUGUCAAUCAGUUCUUGAUUCAACUUAUCUCUAUCAUUUUGCUUUUCCAUCCAGCUCACCAACGAAGUAACCUAUGUCUGUAAAUCCUUUAAACGUGUGUUCUCAGUCAUUGGAGUCAACGAAAGCACCAAUGUAACAGUAAUGAAACAAUACUAUGAUAGGAAAAUUUAGAAGGGAAUGAAUCUUAUUAAUAGGAAUAAGUGUCUAUGUCAUCCACACUAUAACAAGAAGUUCCAGGAUUCUGUAAAAGAAAAAAAUAACAAAUAGAAUCCCAAAAACACUAGUUGCUGCAUAAACAGAGCAUCAUCCUACAUAGCAAAAAGGGAUAAGGUCAGAGAGCAUAAAGAGUAGUGAGGAAAUUUCUGGAAGAGAGAGAAUACAGAGAGAAACUUGCCACAUUCCACACACGCCUCCUCACUAACGCAUGAAUCCUUUUAUAAGGGAAUUUUCCUUAUGCAUCCUAGUGUUGCGUCUGCUUUCCACUUUAUGUUGAUCAAGCUCCACGUGUCCCUGAUCAAGCUCCACGUGUCCUUCAUUCCUAACAGCCUGUGCCUCACUCCCAUCAUGCUUUAGCUCACGUGUUACAGUUAAGGUUCAGUUACUCUUCUAAAAGUAAAAAACUAGAAAAAGGUAAAAAAGGGUAAAAAAGUUAAAGAGAAAGAUUAUUUCUGUAAAUAAAAAAAAAAUGUAGAAAAUUGGGGGAGGUGGAGGAAGAAAAUGGGGAGGUGGAGGAAACAACCCCCGGAAAAAUUUCUUAAAAACCAACAUCAGCUCCAGCCGUCUCUAAUUUAUAAGAUAUACCCAUAAAAAGCCAGUGUUCAUAUCGCAAUAUUAUAAUGGAAAAAUGUGUUUUUUAUUGACCAAGAGAUCAUUGGGAGAAAAUUUCUCUACAACACUUCUAAGAAAGAAAAUCAAGAUUAACUUUAGUUUAUGAUAUUGAGUUGAUUUUCUUCCUCAAUAUUUCUUACGACAGAAAACUAAAAAAAAUAUUUUGUUUUAUAAACUACAAUUAUCUUAUGCAUAAGUUGAUUUAUAAAAAAACUUAUAUAAUUAACUUAAUACAUAUAUUUUGGUUCUUAUUUUUGUUAAUUUUAUUCAAAGUCAUCUUAAGUUCUUUUACAUUUAAAAUGGUUUUUUAAUUUGUAAAAUUUAUUCAUUUGCAUCGUUUUCGCUUAAAUAGCUAACUUUGUAAUGUCAUCUCAACCAAUAUUAAAUGAAUGAUGAGUUUUGAAUAUAGGUGACAAGGGCAACGGUAUGAGGUAGUGCAAAAGUCCAACAAAAAUUUGAUAAAAAUUCAAAUGUGAUGAUGUAUGUGUUAACAUUGUAUUUAGCAAUUUAUGAAUUCUCCUUCUCUGUCUUGCAGUAUUAGUUUCUCUUUCUAACUAUUCAUCACCUCUUAUCAAUUCCUUUCCAUGGAUAACGCCUUCUCAUCCUACAAACUCCCACGGAAGUAUGAUGUGCUCAUCAACUUCACUGGAGAAGACAUCAACAGAAAAUUUGUUUCUCAUCUCAAUUAUGCCUUCUCUACUGUUGGUCUCACCACUUUCCUUCAUCACCCCAAUGCAGUGAAGUCAACUCACAUUCAAGAACCUGUUCUCAGCCACUGUCGUGUAGUAAUUGUUGUUUUCACCCAAACCUAUUCUCAAUCUGCUUGGUGUCUUGAUCAGCUUCAACAAAUCAUCAAAUGGCACGAAACUUAUUGCCGACAUGUUCUGCCCGUAUAUUAUGAAAUCCAGCCAUCUGAUGUACGUCUUCAGAAGGGUAACUUUGGAAAAGCCUUGAAGGCAACUGCACAACAAACAUUUUCAGGUCAAGAACUGAAGCAUGGCAUGUCUAGGUGGAGCCAAGCAAUCACCAAAGCUGCAAAUCUCUUCGGAUGGGAUGAAAGCAAUCACAGGUACAUCACUCACUCAAUCAACAAUCUUUUAAGCCUCCGGUUUCAUUUUGUUAAUACAUGACUUCUUUUAUCAUUGCUCUUGAACUUCAAGGAGUGAUGCUGAAUUAGUGGAGAAAAUUGUUAAGAGCGUUGUUAAUUUGCCAGCCUUGUCUGUUACUAAAUUUCCAGUUGGAUUACAAUCCCACUUGGAAGAUCUGUUUCGAACUAUCAAAAAUAAAUCCACGGAAUUUUGUAUGAUCGAGAUAUGUGGAGAGGAAGGAUCUGGUAAAACAACUCUUGCCAAAGCGAUCUACAAUCAAAUUCAUUGGACGUUCAAGGAGAAAAGUUUCAUUGAAAAUAUUUCACAAGUUACCGGAACAAGAGGGUAUAUUCGUUUACUAGAACAACUUCUUUUAGAUGUCCUAAAACAAAAGGUGGAGAUUCCUAGCGUUGAUGUGGGAAAUAAAAUGAUUCGGGAACGACUUUAUGGAAAAAGGCUACUCAUUGUACUUGAUAAUGUGCUUCACAGCUAUGAACUUUUAGAAGUAUGGACAUAUAAUCAUUAUAGGUUCAGCAAAGGAACUGUAAUAAUAAUUACAACAAGCGAUGAAAACCUACUGAUGGGCCAGCCGACAUAUUCUAUGUUUCGGAUAGAGCGAAUGAACGCAGAGGAGUCCCUUGAGCUUUUUAGUUGGCACGCAUUUAGAGAACCAAAACCAAAGGAAGAAUACGAAGACCUUGCAAGAAGAGUAGUUAGUUAUUGUGGAGGACUACCACUAGUUCUUGAAAUCAUUGGAAGUAGUUUAUUUGAAAGGACGGAAGAAGAAUGGCAUCGUGUACUGUUUGCGAUAGAUGGCAGGCAUCGUGUUUCAGAGAUAAUAAAAGUAAGCAUCGAAGGUUCACUCAAUGAAAUGGAAAAAUAUAUAUUCGUUGAUGUAUGUUGUUUGUUUGUCGGUAAGAGCAGAGCCUAUGUUAGGAAGAUCCUAAAGGGCUGUGGAGUAGAUGCUGAUAUUGCAAUAAGAGUUCUCAUCCAGCGUAACCUCAUCAAAAUUGACAACAACAAAAAAUUUCGAGUGCAUCCUUUGCUACAAAAUAUCGGAGGACAAAUUAUUCAUGAAAAAGUAGUAGGAGAUUUUGAGAAGAACAGGCCACCGUCAAAAUAUGUAAGAACAUUCUUUACAUGUGGUUUGAAACUUCUUUUAAAAGCGUUUUCUUUCAGCUGUGCAGUACAACUUUUUUUUUUUUAUUUGCUUUUUUCAUCACAGGAGACAGAAGCCCUGCAGUGGUUGCCUGCGAAACUGCUCGCUGCCAUCGAAAGUGUGCAGCCGACUUUAAAUUCUCAGUACCUUUUUAAGAAACUAAGAUGGAUCAGUUCGUAUGGGCUUUCUUCAGAAUGUCUGCCUAACAACUUCUAUUGGGAUGAUGCAACAGUGAUUGAUUUGAAACGAAGUCUUCUUCAAUUUCUCUGGAAAACACCCCAGGUUUUAUUACCAGCCACUUCUCUUUAAAACACAACUUAAUUAAAAUAAAUUGGUAACUUGCUAUUAUUUCAUUUUUUAUUUCUACUCUAAUAUUUCUAAAAUGAAAAACUAUUUUGGAGCAGGUUUUGAGAUCGCUAAAAGUCCUUAACCUCAGUCACUCCACGGAUUUAACUACAACCCCUGACUUUACCGGAUUACCAAGUCUUGAACACCUCAUUUUGAAAUAUUGUUCUAGAUUGCGCAAACUACACCAAUCUAUUGGAUCACUCAACAGUCUUAUCCUACUAAAUUUGAAAUUCUGUACAAGUCUAAACAAUCUUCCAACAGAGAUAUAUGAGUUGAAAUCUUUAAGAACCUUCAUUCUCUCUGGUUGUUCCAAGAUUCACAUAAUGGAUAAAGAUAUAGCAAAGUUGGAAUCCUUGAUAACUCUAAUUGCUGAUACACCUGUCAAACAUGUGCCUUUUUCAAUUGUAAGCUCAAAAGGCAUUG
rnacentral:lncRNA from 1 species